rnacentral:ncRNA from 2 species
AUUAAAUUACUUGUUACAGGUGUCCCAAUGGGUACAUUGGGACGAAAAGGGAAUCCCAUUUCCAACGAAUUUCUGACGGUAAUUCAUACGUUAUUCCGUGUGUCAGAAACAGGAAGAAAAAGGGAACGGUACCGCCGCUGUAUCCGGUGACGAACGUUGCAAGAGCCACUGAAAAGCCGUUUCAACGGUUUAACUGCUGAGAAAACAGCUUUCCGGGAAGGUGCAACCAGUAGGAUGAUCCGCGAGUCAGAAAACCUGCCUGUAAUGUGUGCUGGAA